AUUGAACGCUGGCGGCAGGCCUAACACAUGCAAGUCGAACGGCAGCGGGGGGAAGCUUGCUUCCCCGCCGGCGAGUGGCGGACGGGUGAGUAAUGCCUGGGGAGCUGCCCAAUCGAGGGGGAUACCAGUUGGAAACGACUGCUAAUACCGCAUACGCCCUGAGGGGGAAAGGUGGGGAUCUUCGGACCUAUCGCGAUUGGAUGCACCCAGGUGGGAUUAGCUAGUUGGUGAGGUAACGGCUCACCAAGGCGACGAUCUCUAGCUGGUCUGGGAGGAUGACCAGCCACACUGGAACGGAGACACGGUCCAGACUCCUACGGGAGGCAGCAGUGGGGAAUAUUGCUCAAUGGGGGAAACCCUGAUGCAGCCAUGCCGCGUGUGUGAAGAAGGCCUUCGGGUUGUAAAGCACUUUCAGCGAGGAGGAAAGGGUGGCAGCUAAUACCUGUCAUCUGUGACGUUACUCGCAGAAGAAGCACCGGCUAACUCCGUGCCAGCCGCCGCAGUAAUAC
rnacentral:rRNA from 1 species